rnacentral:rRNA from 1 species
GAACGAUGAUCUCCAGCUUGCUGGGGGGAUUAGUGGCGAACGGGUGAGUAACACGUGAGUAACCUGCCCUUGACUCUGGGAUAAGCCUGGGAAACUGGGUCUAAUACCGGAUACGACCGUCCCGCGCAUGCGGUGGUGGUGGAAAGCUUUUGCGGUUUUGGAUGGACUCGCGGCCUAUCAGCUUGUUGGUGGGGUAAUGGCCUACCAAGGCGACGACGGGUAGCCGGCCUGAGAGGGUGACCGGCCACACUGGGACUGAGACACGGCCCAGACUCCUACGGGAGGCAGCAGUGGGGAAUAUUGCACAAUGGGCGAAAGCCUGAUGCAGCGACGCCGCGUGAGGGAUGACGGCCUUCGGGUUGUAAACCUCUUUCAGUAGGGAAGAAGCGAAAGUGACGGUACCUGCAGAAGAAGCGCCGGCUAACUACGUGCCAGCAGCCGCGGUAAUACGUAGGGCGCAAGCGUUAUCCGGAAUUAUUGGGCGUAAAGAGCUCGUAGGCGGUUUGUCGCGUCUGCUGUGAAAGACCGGGGCUCAACUCCGGUUCUGCAGUGGGUACGGGCAGACUAGAGUGAUGUAGGGGAGACUGGAAUUCCUGGUGUAGCGGUGAAAUGCGCAGAUAUCAGGAGGAACACCGAUGGCGAAGGCAGGUCUCUGGGCAUUAACUGACGCUGAGGAGCGAAAGCAUGGGGAGCGAACAGGAUUAGAUACCCUGGUAGUCCAUGCCGUAAACGUUGGGCACUAGGUGUGGGGGACAUUCCACGUUUUCCGCGCCGUAGCUAACGCAUUAAGUGCCCCGCCUGGGGAGUACGGCCGCAAGG